rnacentral:rRNA from 1 species
AGUGAACGCUGGCGGUAUGCUUAACACAUGCAAGUCGAACGGCAGCACAGUAAGAGCUUGCUCUUACGGGUGGCGAGUGGCGGACGGGUCAGGAAUACAUCGGAAUCUACUUUUUCGUGGGGGAUAACGUAGGGAAACUUACGCUAAUACCGCAUACGACCUACCGGUGAAAGCAGGGGAUCUUCGGACCUUGCGCGAUUGAAUGAGCCGAUGUCGGAUUAGAUAGUUGGCGGGGUUAAGACCCACCAUGGCGACGAUCCGUAGCUGGUCUGAGAGGAUGGUCGGCGACAUGAGAAGUGGGACAGGGUCCAGAGUCCUACGGGAGGGAGCAGAGGGGUAUGGUAGGCAGUGGGGGCGAGCCUGGUCCAGCCAUACCGCGUCGGUGGAGGAGGCGUUCGGGUUGUAAAGCCCUUUUGUUGGGUAAGAAAAGCAGCAGGUUAAUACCCAGCUGUUCUGACGGUAACGAAAGAAUAAGCACCGGCUAACUUCGUG